rnacentral:rRNA from 1 species
CCUACGGGAGGCAGCAGUGAGGAAUAUUGGUCAAUGGACGCAAGUCUGAACCAGCCAUGCCGCGUGCAGGAAGAAGGCUCUAUGAGUUGUAAACUGCUUUUGUACGAGGGUAAAUCCCGAUACGUGUAUCGGGUUGAAAGUAUCGUACGAAUAAGGCACGCCUAACUCGGUGCCAGCAGCCGCGGUAAUACGGAGGAUGCGAGCGUUAUCCGGAUUUAUGGGGGUUAAAGGGGGCGCGGUGGGCUUGUUAAGCCGGCGGUAAAAGCCCGGGGCUAAACCCCGGCGAGCCGUUGAAACUGGGGGGCUGGAGUUGGAGAGAGGUACGCGGAAUGCGCGGUGUAGCGGUGAAAUGCUUAGAUAUCGCGCAGAACCCCGAUUGCGAAGGCAGCGUACCGGCUCCACACUGACGCUGAGGCGCGAAAGCGUGGGUAUCGAACAGGAUUAGAUACCCGAGUAGUC